GGUGAGCCAGAGCAACCACUAUUGAGAUUGACUUCCACCAUCAAGAACUUGGCUUGGUUCCUGUUACCUUGAAACAGCUCAGGGGCCUGCGUGAAGUGGACAUUGCUGUCUGUCUACCACAGAUCAGGAGUGCUCACUAUGGAACUGGGAUCUAGUACAUGGCAGGCAAGGACUCUUCACAUUGAGAUAACGGCAGCUUCUUUGAGCACAAUGCUUACAACAUACCAGGGAUUAAUGAACUUCUAUGAGACAUGGUCUGAACGCAGGCCGAAGGCAGGGGCCAGACAGACUGAGCACAGGCUGUCCUAAUGAGCUGGCUGAGAUGGAAGCUUGGAGGCUUCACUGAGCAAACACCAUGGAGCAGUUUUCUACUGCACUGGCUGGCGUACCCAGCUCCCCUUUGCUCCGUUGACUGUUGAGACGUUAAUGCAGGUGACGACGAAUCUACUUUCCGUCCCCAUCCGGUUCAGCUGCACAUUGGCUCCCUGAGCUUCCUCUGCGUUCCAAGUGAACUUAGGAUUCCACAGUUCUGCAGACAGAGCCUCUUUGAGAGGGUUCAGCUGUGAGCCAGAGGUGCAGAGGGCUCAACUGACCUGCUUCGUGUCAGUUUCCUGUCCUGCUCCCCAUCUGCCCUGUCACAGAGCC
rnacentral:lncRNA from 1 species